UGGGGAAUUUUGGACAAUGGGCGCAAGCCUGAUCCAGCCAUGCCGCGUGCGGGAAGAAGGCCUUCGGGUUGUAAACCGCUUUUGUCAGGGAAGAAAUCUUCUGAGUUAAUACCUCGGGAGGAUGACGGUACCUGAAGAAUAAGCACCGGCUAACUACGUGCCAGCAGCCGCGGUAAUACGUAGGGUGCAAGCGUUAAUCGGAAUUACUGGGCGUAAAGCGUGCGCAGGCGGUUUUGUAAGACAGAGGUGAAAUCCCCGGGCUCAACCUGGGAACUGCCUUUGUGACUGCAAGGCUUGAGUGCGGCAGGGGAGGGAUGGAAUUCCGCGUGUAGCAGUGAAAUGCGUAGAUAUGCGGAGGAACACCGAUGGCGAAGGCAAUCCCCUGGGCCUGCACUGACGCUCAUGCACGAAAGCGUGGGGAGCAAACAGGAUUAGAUACCCUGGUAGUCCACGCCCUAAACGAUGUCAACUGGUUGUUGGGAAGGUUCCUUCUCAGUAACGUAGCUAACGCGUGAAGUUGACCGCCUGGGGAGUACGGCCGCGAGGUUGAAACUCAAAGGAAUUGACGGGGUCAUAGCUGUUUCCUG
rnacentral:rRNA from 1 species